UUCAUUCCAUUCUAUAUUCAUUCAUAAUCUCUAAUUCACUCACAUUCAUCAUCUUCAAAGAACGCCUUCCCGCAGGCAAUCCAAAAAGAAAAGAUAGACAAAUUAAUAGUUGUGUUGAUAAUGUUGACAACCCAUUGUUAGCUAAAUUUCUAGUGCACUACCUUUCAUUAAACAUCAGUAAUGUUCCAGUGUUCAUGCCUACAAAAGAAUUCUCUAAGUUCCUAUGAUAGGUUUACUCCUAGCCCUAAGCCACUAAAUACGCUAAUCANAAUUAUACUUUUUUCUUUCGUUCUCUACUUUGAUACAUCUCAUUCUCCCAAAGUUUUGUGGACCUCUUCCUCUAAUAUCAACUCUCUUUUUCUCCCAAAGUUUCGUGGACAUGAAUAAGGAGUCAACUUCAGUAUGUUUUUUCUUCUGAAUUUCUUCUUCGACUGCUUAAUUUCUUCUUCAGCGAAUUGACUACUGAAUUUUUUCUUCAGCGAAUUGACUGCUGAAUUUCUUCUUCAUCGAUUUCUUCUUCAGCAAUCUUUCUCGUUUUCUUCUUCUUUCUCUCAUCACUGCUUAUGGAAUUUACUAUACUAUUGUUACACUUUUUAUUCCUGAUAAAAAAUUACUUAUAAAGUAGUACUACUUUAUCAGUACAUGUUUUUUAAGACAUUCUUUUGUCUGAAUUGAUUUAUACUUUCUACCUUGCACUUUUAUUUCCCUUGUAUUGGUAUAGCUGACUAAGAUUAUGCAACAUGUUUUUCAAUAUAAAUUGUGGUUUACUGAUAAAAUAUUUUUUGGUUGACGAAAAAAGGUACCAUUGUAGAUCUUACAUCUGUUUUGUUCGCAGGGUGUUAUAACUCUCUAAAAUGGCUGUAUAUACGCUUUCUCAUGCUAUGUACAUACGUGUUUGAAGGUCGCUAGCUUGUGUUUGACAGAAAAUAUGGACAAUGUAGCUCACUUUGUGUGACUUACUGGCAUGUACAUUUAUAUUUUUGUUAGCCGGUAAACAUAUUGGUCGUGUAACUAAUGUAAAUAGUGGGUUGAAAGACUAGCACUAAAUAUGACCUCUUUUUUUGGCUUGAAUUUAUUUUCUUCGCUCUACUAUGUAUCCAAGUUUUUAAGACUAAAUAGAAACAAACUUACUGCUAUCCAAAAGAUCAUUUAAACUGA